AUGAAAUAAUCACAGAUAAUAAAAAUAUAAAUAGCAGAGGAAACCUGAGAGAAUAAUUUCCUGAAAAGUCUGUGAAGGAAAAGCAACUUUUUUAUCCUGAAAGAUCAGAAUCAGCUCCAACAUCUGCAUCUGACAGCAUCAAGUCAACCAGAAAGAAAAGAAAAAAGAAAAUGACUUCUUUCUGAUCACAUCUGUUCCGCUGCUCACAGUCUGCUGCUGCUCACAUUCUUCACAUUUAUAGUCCACUUUUAAAAGUUCAGCAGACAGGUGCUCUCCUUUGGAGUGUGACGAUGUUGUCGGUGAUGUGGAGAGUGAAGUUUCCGUUUCACCCACAGCGUGCUUUAGGGCAGCCGGGUCGGACUUGAUGUUUGAAAUACUGACCGACAGCUCAGAUUUACCUGUCUGUAGUUCCGUUUUGAUGGGUGUUAAAUUUUCACUCCAAGCCACCAGGAGCUGGGUCUUUAAAAUACCCGCCGUCUCGUUACAGAGUGAAAGUAGCAGUUCCUCCUUAAGGUCAGAGAUUGCAGCAUCUGAGGGCCUCUUCAAAAGAAGACAUAGUUGAUGAAGGCGUUCUGGAGCAGGACCAGAAAGACCACGACCAAGCAGCCUUGAGAUCUUAGGCAGCGUCUCCCUCAGGUCCCUCUCUAUCUCCCUACACAUCCACCAACCACUGGAACACAUCUCCAAAGUUCUGCCGGGCCAGCUCAGCUUCCCCUCAGAAGAAGUGCCACCACCUGCCAGAUGAAGGAGCCUUUUGAGAGGCAGCUGGCAUAGUGAUUGGACUGUACUUUGGUCUGUUCCAAUCCAGCUUCAGCUCCAGAGACGGCAGGCGGGACGAGUCAACGGAGGCCGGGUGGACGAAGGCAUGCAGCUGAGUACAAUCCAGAAAACAACAGAGGAGGAAUGCAGUGACCCAGGGCCAGAACAAACAGAACCAAAGAACUACAGACUCUUCACAACCUGCUCAAACUCUUGGUACAGGACCUCACCACACGGGUCAAGAAGGUUUCUGUCUCAUUUCUACUCUGAAGCUCACCUUCUCCUGCUCAAACUGCUGACAAAUGUUUCUGCUGCUCUAAAGUCUGGUCUCCAGAACUUUCUAAAAACUCUCAAAGUCUCUUCUGCUGCAGGUUGCUUUGUAGAACUGUUACAGAAAACCUCACUAAACCACAUGGAGGGGCCUCAAGAUAGUCGUCCAAAUGAAACCAUACAAAAACCAAACUGGCACAACCCAAACGCUAAAGUCUCCUGCAGCCUACCAGAGAACCUCUGAGAACAGAGAAUCAGGACAGGAACUCUUACCUUCUGGACAACCAACGUUGGUUCUCAAACAAGAAUACAGAAUGUGUCUGACCAAAAAUCUCUAAAGACUCACUACAGCCAAGAUAAAGACACAACUCAGCUGCACCAAAUCCACUAAUCACUGCACACAUUAGCACCAUGUGCUAACUGUGGCUAAAGAACCUCAUUUACCAAGACAACUAUCCAGUACAAAGCCCUAAGACACACCAAGAAACACAUUAAAGAUGAUUUUACUGCUGGAAGCUGCAAGCCAACGCCUAAAGAACAAACUGAAGCAACGGAACCAAACCCGGUUCAUUGGUGAACAGAAGCAGAGGAAAUGUUUGUCUGCAGCUAAAUAAAGCAGGAAGACACUGAGCUGCUCAGGUGUUCCUGAUAACACCAAGCAGCCACCUGGACAGCCAAUAGGAACACAGCUUACUGGAAGUCCAGAGGGCUGGGUUAGUGAAGGAACUUUAAUUUAAAGUUGAAGCAUAAAGUUAACAAAGAAAGUUGAAAACCACCUUCUGAUACCUGAAAUCUCUGAGUUUUCACACAAAGAACACCUGAACAUGUCAAACUGGUUCCAUAGUAGAACCAUCAUUGUAAAAACGUCAUAGUAUGGUGUGUUGCUCAAAAAACAUUAUGACCCGGCUGUCUAGGGUCGCUGAGGAGCAACACAAAAACAGGACAAACGCUGGUUUCCAGGGGUUAGGCAGCUAUUUAUUUGAAAGAGUAAGUUUACAACAACACAACAUGUGAGCAGAAAAAUCACAGUCUGUCUUUAGUUCAGCUGAAAAUAUUAGUUUUUGUCUUUUUUAUUGACCAAACUUUUCAGGAAGUAGAUGAAGAAUAAUUAAAGCUCUCAUGUAGAAGUCCAACUUAUUUUGGAUCCUUGUGGAGAGUUUAAUCUUAGAGUUUGUACAGCUGUUGAGUUUUUAGAGUCACAUGGAUUGUUUUGACAUUUAAUAACUGAGUCCUGAAAUAAAAUUACAGUUGUGGA